GAUGAAGAACGUAGCGAAAUGCGAUAAGUAAUGUGAAUUGCAGAAUUCAGUGAAUCAUCGAAUCUUUGAACGCACCUUGCGCUCCUUGGUAUUCCUUGGAGCAUGCCUGUUUGAGUAUCAUGAAAUUCUCAAAGUAAAUCUUUUUGUUAAUUCAAUUAGGUUCACUUUGGAUUUGGAGGUUUUUUGCAGCUUCACACCUGCUCCUCUUUGUGCAUUAGCUGGAUCUCAGUGUUAUGCUUGGUUCCACUCGGCGUGAUAAUUUAUCUAUCGCUGCGGACACUUUUUUGUUUUUUUCUAAAAAAAUAAAAUAACUAAGUGGCCAAGGGAAAUGCAGAUGAACCGCUUCCAAUAGUCCAUUAGCUUGGACAAAUAUAUUUUUAUGAUCUGAUCUCAAAUCAGGUAGGACUACCCGCUGAACUUAAGCAUAUCAAUAAGCGGAGGA
rnacentral:misc_RNA from 1 species